GCCGGGCGUGGUGGCUCAUGCCUGUAAUCCCAGCACUUUGGGAGGCUGAGGUGAGCGGAUCACCUGAGGUCAGGAGUUUGAGACCAGCCUGGCCAACAUGGAGAAACCUCAUCUCUA
ensembl:misc_RNA Metazoa_SRP Metazoan signal recognition particle RNA